GACGAACGCUGGCGGCGUGCUUAACACAUGCAAGUCGAACGGGUCUGCCCUGUUUUUUGCGGGGUGGGUCAGUGGCGAACGGGUGAGUAACACGUGAGUAACCUGCCCCUCACUUCUGGAUAACCGCUUGAAAGGGUGGCUAAUACGGGGUGUUCUGGCUGUGCCGCAUGGUGUGGCUGGGAAAGAUUCACUUUUGUGGUGUUUUGGUGGGGGAUGGGCUCGCGGCCUAUCAGCUUGUUGGUGGGGUGAUGGCCUGCCAAGGCUUUGACGGGUAGCCGGCCUGAGAGGGUGGGCGGUCACACUGGGACUGAGAUACGGCCCAGACUCCUGCGGGAGGCAGCAGUGGGGGGUAGUGCACAAUGGGCGGAAGCCUGAUGCAGCGACGUCGCGUGAGGGAUGGAGGCCUUCGGGUUGUGAACCUCUUUCGCCGGUGAAGAAGGUCCUGCUCUUUGUGGUGGGGUUGACGGUAGCCGGGUUAUGAAGCGCCGGCUAACUACGUG
rnacentral:rRNA from 1 species